rnacentral:lncRNA from 1 species
CGGGGGUGGAAGAAAGAUUUUCUAAAGACAUAGCAUUAUCAUGCUGUCCCUUAUUACGUCAAAUGCAAAGUCAUAAGAUACCGUAUGUUCUUUAGACAUCUGAUCCCCGUUGGUCCUUAAUGAUCAGCAACUUUGAUCCCACAAAAGCUACAAAUUCUUUAGGACAUAAAACCGUGGUUUCUUUCAAUUUGGGGAUCAAAAAUAGAACAAAUGAAACAAAAUGACUAGCUAUUUUUAACCAAUUCAUUUAGUAAGUUUUAAAUUUAAAAUAAUGAAAUCUUGAAUGUUAUAUAUUUUUAUCGUUUAUGUUAAAUGUUUCACCCUGCCACACGUUCCAACAUAUAGCAUAAUAAUCAUAACACCCAGCCAUACAAUAUCCACAAUGAUGUCACAGUAAAAGGUUUCAGCGCGAAGCUCUCAAAUUUAUCGUUUAUGUUAAAUGUUUCACCCUGCCACACGUUCCAACAUAUAGCAUAAUAAUCAUAACACCCAGCCAUACAAUAUCCACAAUGAUGUCACAGUAAAAGGUUUCAGCGCGACGCUCUCAAAUGGGGGACUAUUCUCGAGCAGAAAUUUUAGAAUUUUCUUGCGUUUUUUGUGACGUGUUUCACAGAUAAUAGUACGUGAACCUUUAUGGGCAAGGCUGAAUAGAGACACAAAAAAUAAAUGUUGAUGUAUAAUAUUAACGACAUCAUUGGUUGUUUAUUAAGUCUCCCAAACAAAGUUUGGAGACUUAUUGUUUUUGCUCAGUUCUUAUUAUUUUUAUUAUUCUUCUUCUUUUUUCUUUUCUUCCGCACAAUUAAAAAUGAACUUGUCCGCAGCGUUUCUCCAAAACCCCUGGUCAGAUUAACUUAGGGUUUCAUAGAAUGUUAGACUAAUAUGUCUAGGUGAGCCAUCGAUCUUUCGUUUGUGCAUUGGGGUCUAUUAAGGGGUAUUUUGGGGGGCAGAAAGAAGGGAGGGGUUUACUAUAGAACCCUAUGGGAUUUUAUUUUCUAAAAUUUUCAAAUGAAUAUAACUUUAAAACUGUAAGUGAUAGAUACAUGUAGUCUUCAGAAAUGAUUAAAGGACAAUAAAACAAAUCACAUGAAAUAUAGAAGGAGUCCCUGGGGGUCAUCCCACCCCCUUCAAUUUGAGAAUAUGCUUUUAUCUUGUAAACGGUCCAGAUCCCCACCCCUAAACCUCAUAUAUUCUUGAAUGGGACGAUAAAACAAAUCAAAUGAAAUUAAAGGGAAGUCCCCGGGGUCCUCCCCACCCCGUUCAAUUUGAAAAUGUGCUAUUAUCUUGUAAACGGUCCAGAUCCCCACCCCUAAACCAUAUAUAUUCUUGUGGGGGACAAUAAAACAAAUGAAAUGAAAUAAAAGGGAAGUCCUGAGGGGGUCACCCCACCCCCUCUUGUUUGAAAACUUGUAAACCGUCAACAUCCCCACCCCUAAACCAUCUAUAUUCUUGUAUGGGACAAUAAAACUAAUCAAAUGAAAUUAAAUGGAAGUUCCUUGGGGUAACCCCCACCCCGUUUAAUUUGAGAAUGCACUAUUAUCUUGUAAACGGUCCAGAUCCCCACCCCUAAACCAUAUAUAUUCUUGUAGGGGACAAUAAAACAAAUGAAAUGAUAUAAAAGGAAAGUCCCGAGGGGGUCACCCCACCCCUUCUUGUUUGAAAACUUGUAAACGGUCAACAUCCCCACCCCUAAACCAUAUAUAUUCCUGUAUGGGACAACAAGGCUAAUCAAAUGAAAUUAAAGGGAAGUUCCUGGGGGUCGCCCCCCACCCUGUUCAAUUUGAGAAUGUGCUAUUAUCUUGUAAACGGUCCAGAUCCCCACCCCUAAACCAUAUAUAUUCUUGUAGGGGACAAUAAAACAAAUCAAAUGAUAUAAAAGAGAAGUCCCGAGGGGUCACCCCACCCCCUCUUGUUUGAAAACUUGUAAACGGUCAACAUCCCCACCCCUAAACCAUAUAUAUUCUUGUAUGGGACAAUAAAACAAAUCAAAUGAAAUGUAGGUAAAGUCCUUGGGGGUCAUCACCACCCCCUCCUGUUUGAAUACUUUUAAAUUGUGGAGAUCCCCACUCGUAAGCCAUAUAUAUUCUUGUAUGGGGCAAAAAAUCAAAUCAAAUGAACAUGGGACCAUAUGAAUGGCGAGUUAUGGGAGCUUUGUUUGGGAGACUUCGUAACAGCAUCCUGUUACAAUUACUUCUUGUUUCU